rnacentral:rRNA from 1 species
CGAGACCUCAGGUCAGACGGGGCUACCCGCUGAGUUUAACAUAUCA